rnacentral:tRNA from 1 species
GGUAAAAUGGCCGAUAAAAGCAUUAGACUGUAAAUCUAAAGAUAGGGGUUUAAGUCCUCUUUUUGCCA